rnacentral:rRNA from 1 species
CAAUAGCGUAUAUUAAAGUUGUUGCAGUUAAAAAGCUCGUAGUUGGAUUUCUGCUGAGGACGAUCGGUCCGCCCACUGGGUGAGUAUCUGGCUCGGCCUUGGCAUCUUCUUGGAGAACGUUGCUGCACUUGACUGUGUGGCGCGGUAUCCAGGACUUUUACUUUGAGGAAAUUAGAGUGUUUCAAGCAGGCGCACGCCUUGAAUACAUUAGCAUGGAAUAAUGAGAUAGGACCUUGGUUCUAUUUUGUUGGUUUCUAGAGCUGAGGUAAUGAUUAAUAGGGAUAGUUGGGGGCAUUCGUAUUUAACUGUCAGAGGUGAAAUUCUUGGAUUUGUUAAAGAUGGAUUACUGCGAAAGCAUUUGCCAAGGAUGUUUUCAUUGA